GAUUUUUUGAUUAACGCUUGUAAACGAACCGUUUUAAGGUCGUCGUAACAGACAAUAAACGUGUUCAAAUACAAGUCACUUGGAAG
rnacentral:ncRNA from 2 species